rnacentral:sRNA from 1 species
UCAGCACAAUGAAUCAUUUUCAAGUUGACUCAUUGUGAACUGUAUCCCAGCUGUUGGAAUGUCUGGCAGACAUUUUUGUUUGGGUGAAGAAUAACUGGCUGAAACCCAACCUGGAUGAGUUUGAUAUAAUGGUCUUUGGCUAAAGAAAUAUUGAGAGGAACAUGUUUAUGGCCUCUGAAGCCCCUGUUAUUCCUGGAGUAGGACCAUCCCCUGUGGCACAGAACUGAAAGUAAGGAAUCAAUCUGGAUUAUUUUCUCACCAUUGAAUGAAAAAUUGCCUUAGAAAAAAUAGGCAUUUCCAAACUAUGUUUUUCUAUACUUAGUGUGCCCACGUGAUUGAACAUAUUAAAGACAAUUAAGAAUAAUUAUUUUUACUGAUUCUUUUUAACAACACUGAUCCAAAGGCUGAAACCUUCCUUGUAUAAUGCUGAAACAUUCUUUAUAUAACACACAUUCCAACUUAUGAAGGAGUUUCAAAUACUGCUCUAGGUGUGAGUUAACCAGUCAUUUCAACAGAAUGUUUGGUGACACAGGCUGCUAUGUGUUUCAUAAUACCAAGUCAGGUAACAUUGACCAGCCCUCUUUAAUUUUUCAUUCUUAGGCCAUCUUUAUAAAGGGACUUAAGAAACAAGAAUAUUAGUAAGCUCAGUUGUAAUCAUAUUCCCAGAAAAUGAAAAUCUUUUAUUAUAUUUGACCUCUUUCUAACAGGGGAUAUAGCAGGCUGAUAAAUUUUCUUGACUGUUUUAUAUUUCCCAUUCUUUUCUUCAAAGAUUAGUUUUAAACUGGUGGGCAUUACCAUUGUAUAAAAUGAGAGUUUCAAAAUUGCAAAAUUUUACAAAAAACAUUUUCAACUUAUCUAGAUCUGCCAAGCAAAAAAUUGUCUAAGACAUCAUAGCAUAUAAUCACAGUUUUCUGAUCUACCACCCUGUCAGGGGCUAAAAGGAAUACUAGAUUUCCAGUAAUUAAAGAAUUUUAAAAAAACCCUACCAGAUAUUUGAUGAUUAUAUUCUUAUAGCCAGGAGAUUCUUAGUAUUUUAGAACUUUUGCUACUUAAUAACUGGACAUACUAGGUUGAUAAACAUAUUAACCUAUUGUUUUGAUCUGGCAAAAUGUGACAUUUAUUAAAAUGUAUUUAGCAGUAUUUCAGUUCAUCUCAGAUUGUGUCGAGAAAUAAAGGAUAGGCUACUGGUCUAAAUGUUAGUCAUCUACCAUCUUUUCUUUCCCUUCAUUAUUAUCCCAGAGCCAAAUGGCAGCAUCUGGAAAGAGAAAACAGAAGACUUCAUAGCUAGCCAUGUUGCAGUCUCUUAGCUGGUCCUUUCCAUGUUUCUAAUAUGUCACAGAGGACCUCAGCUGUUAUAGGGCUGGGACCUUGUCCCAGCUGACAGACGACAGUGGGACUCUUGCCCUAUACUUUAUGCUGUACCAUCUACUGCUUCUGAAUCCUGCUGUCUGACAGGUUUUCCAAUGGGCAUUGGAUGAAGUAAUUUGAAAAAUAAUCAUGUAUGAGAAUAAAGGUAGUCUUGUUCCUUAAUACAAGUGAAAAAUAAUCAAUUUACGUUCUCUAUCAGAACUAAUCCAUUUAUGUCUUCUACCAAUUUAUGUUUUCCCUUCAGUUCUUCAAAUUAGAAUAGCAUGACUACAUGGGCCAGCAUUUUCAAUUAAGGGCAUAUUUCCAUCCAGUUUUCAGCCUAUAAUAGCUUUAACUUUUAAGUUAUUUCACUGUUGAUAGUCUAUCUCCACUACAGUUUUUCAUGAGAUGGCAUAGGGAUAUUUUAUAGAUAUUAUACUAUUAACAUAAUAUUUAACGUUACUGUUUUGUUUCCAUGUUUUGCAGAAUAAAGCCAUUAUUGCCCGUGUCACAACCUUGUCAGAUAUAGUAGUUGGUCUGGAAUCAUUUAUUGGUUCUGAGAGAGAAACUAACCCAUUGUAUAAGGAUUAUCAUGGUAAGUACAACCUUCAUAAUGAGAAGAGCAGGAGCAGGCUGCUUCUAGGUUACCUGGAAGCAUCCUGUUCAAUCCGAAUAUCUACUGUCAAGGAGUAUGAAUUUUAUAAUACACCUGUUAAAUAUUUUCCAUUCCUGUCCAGUCUUCCAUGGCAGCUUAUUACCCAACUACAUUAAGACUAUAGACUAUAAUAACUGAAAGGAGUCAAACCCAAGUACUGAGGCAUGGCUGAGUCAGGUGUAUAUUUUGUCAUCCUAGUGGCUUAAGGUAGCCAUGUAAUCAGUCAUACUUACUAGCCAUGUUUGAAAUAAAUAACGUAUUAAUUCUAAUAAUGACAGUUUUCUAUAGCAGUUUAUACUUUACAAAGCCUAGCCAUAUGAUAAGAUACAUACUGGAUUAUAUUUACAGAUUCCUAGUCAAUUACAUUUUCAGAAAGAGAAGAUCUUUGAUUGUAUUUGAACUUUUCUCUGUUUACUCAUUUUCUUGUUAGUAUGAGUUAUGAACAAAUUAUAAAAUAUUGCCACCUUGAUAUAAACACAGGUGAAUUCAUCAGACUUUUACUUUUUUUUUUUUUUUUUUUACUUUUAGUAAUAUUGUCAUUUGGUUAAUUUGGGGAUUCUUUUUAAUAAAGAGUCUUAUGUAGAACUAUAUGAAUAGUAAAAGUGUAGUACUUAGGUCUUAGUAAUAUAGGUCUAAAACAAAUAUAGAAUGUAGUGAAUAACAGAUUUUUACCUAUUAUUCUUAGUAUAAAUAAAUUAUUGCUACCAUUGUUAUGGAACUACCAUACUUCUGUGGAAACCUCUAAAGACUGAGUAGCUUAUUUGAAGCCUGCUACCAGAUUUUAUAAGACAAGUAUUACGAGCUUAUGCAUUUUGUAAAAUAUUUUAUAUUCUAAAAAAUAUUAUUUUGAUUAAAAUAUUGCAAAGGUUGAAAGACUAUGAUUCUUUGUGCUAAAAUCUCUGAAUUGAUAAAUUAUUUUCCACUGAGUAAAGAGUGGUUCUAAUGACUAGUAUGCUUUCUGUUAAUAAGGAGGACCUGAUGAUGAAAUUAUUAAUUUAUUCUAUAAGGCCUCUUGAUAGCUAAGCAAGCACAUUCAAGGUUAAAAUAAGAAACGUACAAAUAAAAGUAUGGUGUGCCUAUUUCUAAUAAAUAUAUUUUACUAAAUAGUAUGUAUGAGAUAGUCUUAAUUUGUAGCCAAAAGCUGUCUUCUUGAAACACCUUUUACAUUUUUUUAAGUUUGAAAAAUUUUCAGGUAUUUUAGUUAAUUAUUUUUGAAGAGGCUAUUUCUAAAGCUAAGUACCUUUAAAGGUUUAAGCUAAGACUAAUAGAUGCAUUAUUAAGCAUUUAAACACACGUACAAAACCUUGUACUAGAGAAGCAGUUCUAUAAGUAAGAUUUGUCUCUUUGUUCAAAUCUGUAAUUUGCCUUUCCUCCCCAUGUUUUGGAUCAGUGUCCUCGGGAUGGCGAUUUUUAAAUAUAAGCUGAGUCAGGCAGAAAGAUGUAGUGAAGAACCUUCCAUGUCUUCAUCUGUGGGAAAUGACCCCUAGUUUAGUCAGAAACUACAUUAGGCUGCACAAAAGCUAUCCAGUGCCCUUGUCAGAAAAAAUUAGCAAGUGUUUCUACUGACAAGAGGCCAAAGCUCAUGGUUUACCUAGCACUGUUGCAAAGCUUAUAGCAGCUACAUAAAGGUCUAACAUGCCAUACAAAUGAGUGUCUUGGGAUGGCAUAGGGGUUAAUGUUUGGUCCUAGAGUGUACUUUGAAAUGUAGUUUUCUUCAAUGGUUUGUUCAAGUCAUUAAUAAGGUACAAAAUGAAAUAUUUUUCAUGAGUGCUUCACUGGUUAUCAGUAACCCAUAAGCCUUGUUUUGCUGGCUGCUUAGUGGUGCAUUUAAUAAAAUAAAGAUCACUCAGUGGUGCCGUGGGCAGCAUGCAAGGUGAUAGCCAUAUUUGCUUACUGUAAAUACAAGAGAAAAUCACACACAAACCGGCUGUAGUUUUGACAAGUAUUAAGAUCCCUCUUUACAUCUGUACUUCUGUACCAAAGUGCAAUUAGUUUUCCUCGCACAAGCAUUUCUGUUUAUCUUAUUCUGCUUGAUUACUUGAGUAUAAUCACACCAUUUGCUUCAUUGCUCCUGGUAGUAAGCUCCAGUUUUAAAAGGGGAGGAUGCUUGUGUGUAAAUUUACAGGAUUCUGCUAUAAGACUGUUUAAUUUAUGCAUCUGAUGACAAUGUUUUAAAUUUUUUUUCCUUUAAUUUCCUUUCCACAAGGCUUGAUUCAUAUACGGCAGAUUCCUCGGCUUAAUAACUUGAUCUGUGAUGAAUCAGAUGUCAAAGACUUAGCUUUUAAAUUAAAAAGGAAGCUAUUCACCAUUGAGCGACUGCAUUUGCCUCCAGACUUGUCAGACACAGUGAGCCGCUCAAGCAAAAUGGAUCUGGCAGAAUCCGCCAAGCGGCUGGGCCCAGGCUGUGGCAUGAUGGCCGGAGGCAAGAAGCACCUGGACUUCUAGGGAUUCCUCCUUAGUCGCUGCAUGCAGAAUUCUAUGACACUCUAAUUAUGAUUGCUAAUAGCUUAUGUAAAUAUUUUUCUUAACAAUUUGACCCUCCACUCCUUGAAAAACACAGGAUUAUAAAAUGGUGCCAUUUCUCAUUUUUUAACUUUUUACAGAACUAGCACAGCAGAAAUACUUUUAAAUUUUUCCUUCA